GAUGAAGAACGUAGCGAAAUGCGAUACGUAAUGUGAAUUGCAGAGUUCAGUGAAUCAUCGAAUCUUUGAACGCACAUUGCGCCCGUCAGUAUUCUGACGGGCAUGCCUGUCCGAGCGUCAUUUCAACCCUCAAGCGCAGCUUGGUGUUGGUGGAUUGCGUGCCCUCGCGGCGCUGCAACCGCCCAAAUACAGUGGCGGUCCCGCUGCGGCUCCCUUUGCGUAGUAACUCACCUUGCACUGGACCGGGCGGCGGCCUGCCGUAAAACCCCAACUCACGAAAUGUUGACCUCGGAUCAGGUAGGAAUACCCGCUGAACUUAAGCAUAUCAAUAAGCGGAGGA
rnacentral:misc_RNA from 1 species